GGGGGGGGGGGGCAAGCGUUGUUCGGAAUUACUGGGCGUAAAGGGCGCGCAGGCGGGCCCGGCCAGUCCCUUGUGAAAUCCCACAGCUCAACUGUGGAACUGCAGGGGAUACUGCCCAGGCUUGAGUCCGGGAUAGGGGAGUGGAAUUCCCAGUGUAGCGGUGAAAUGCGUAGAUAUUGGGAGGAACACCGGUGGCGAAGGCGGCUCCCUGGACCGGUACUGACGCUGAGGCGCGAAAGCUAGGGGAGCAAACGGGAUUAGAUACCCCGGUAGUCCUAGCUGUAAACGUUGAGCACUUGGUGUGGCGGGUAUCGACCCCUGCUGUGCCGAAGCUAACGCAUUAAGUGCUCCGCCUGGGGAGUACGGUCGCAAAGGCUG
rnacentral:rRNA from 1 species